rnacentral:rRNA from 1 species
GCAUAACGCGAAGAACCUUACCAAGGCUUGACAUACACGAGAACGGGCCAGAAAUGGUCAACUCUUUGGACACUCGUGAACAGGUGGUGCAUGGUUGUCGUCAGCUCGUGUCGUGAGAUGUUGGGUUAAGUCCCGCAACGAGCGCAACCCUCGUUCUAUGUUGCCAGCACGUAAUGGUGGGAACUCAUGGGAUACUGCCGGGGUCAACUCGGAGGAAGGUGGGGAUGACGUCAAAUCAUCAUGCCCCUUAUGUCUUGGGCUUCACGCAUGCUACAAUGGCCGGUACAAAGGGCUGCAAUACCGUGAGGUGGAGCGAAUCCCAAAAAGCCGGUCCCAGUUCGGAUUGAGGUCUGCAACUCGACCUCAUGAAGUCGGAGUCGCUAGUAAUCGCAGAUCAGCAACGCUGCGGUGAAUACGUUCCCGGGUCUUGUACACACCG